AGAUCACGUUAGCUAUUCUGGGUCUUUUGUGGUUGCAUAUGACUUUUAUGAUUUUUUUUUCUAUUUCUGUAAAAAAUACUAUUGGGAUAAUAAACAAAAGAGAGCAUAGGUGGUUAUAUUAAUAUAAAACAAAAUAGACUUUAAGUCAAAUACUGUCACAAGCAUCACUACAUUUCUGUUGCAGAAAAAAUUUAAAGAAGUUUAACUUUCUGAGUUUAUGAUAUAGUUUUCAGAAAGUUCUACUUUCAGGAGAUUGACAGCAACAUUGUAUAGUAGAAAAAGCACUUCCUUCACAACUUUUCUGAACCUCAUUUUUUCUACCUGUGGAAUUGGAUAUUAAUAAACAUUGCCCUCCAUUCCUCAGAGAAAUACUAGGAUUAAAUAGAAAAUAAUUGUGGACAUUGUUUCACAUAUGUUAGGCACUGUCAUAUUGUUUUUUGGAAAUGAUCUGGGAAAAGGAAUUUGCAAUCUGAAAAAUAUUUCCUCUGGCAUAAUAGCAGUACUGUUGGUUCUAGAGUUGAAUAGACGUCAGAUUUCUUUCUCUGAAUUUGUCACCUCUGUGUUACUUAACCUUUCUGAACUUGUUUUCUCCUUUGUAAAAAGGAAGAUAUUUUCAUAGGGUGGUUGUGAUCAUUUAAACAGUUGAUGCCUGCAUCACAGACAAUGCACAGUGCUCAGUAAGGGUAACUAUAAUCACUAAAAUUCCAAGUCAAUAUAGAGGUAAUAUUCUGGAAGAUCUUAAGGCUCUGAUUAGGGGGAAAAUGCGAUAUGAGCUAUAUGAAUAAAUAUUUUAAAAUUUCAAAAUUAUUUUAAGACAUGAGACCAAGUUAUCCGGAUUAUUUGGUAUGGCUCUUAAAUUUACUAAUUAUUUGAUUUCUGUAGGUUGUGCAGUAUUGUGGAAAGAGCCACAUAAGCCUGGGUUUGAAUUCUGUACUGUGGUGCUAUCUGGAGAUACUGACCUUUAAUUUUAUUAUUCAUUAAAUGGGAGUGGUACUACCUAGGAUGGUUACAAUGAAGAAUAUGUUAGGUAAAUGAUGCAAAGUGACUGGCGUUGUACCUGACAAAUAGUAGAUGCUUAAAAUACAUACAGAGGUUACUGAAAAUAAAUAAUUUUGUGUAUACAUGUGAUACAGAAAUAAUUUCCCUGUCAUCAGUUUCAUUGUUUUGUGCAUAAAUCCACCCAGGCAUAGACAGCUGCCUUAGCGUCAUUAUUUCUGUUGUUAGAAUCCUGUCUUCCUUGUGUACCUGUGCACUUUGGUGGAGGUUUAUGUAGAGCUCACAAGUGAAACUAAACAUAUGACGUAAGUCUCUGAGAAUAUUGUCCACUUAAACUUUAUGUGUGACUUCCCUCACUUGUUAAAGUAUUUUUGAAAUAAAAAUAAAUUUAGUUUGUGAGUAU
rnacentral:lncRNA from 1 species